UGGGGAAUAUUGCACAAUGGGCGCAAGCCUGAUGCAGCCAUGCCGCGUGUGUGAAGAAGGCCUUCGGGUUGUAAAGCACUUUCAGCGAGGAGGAAGGUGGUGAGCUUAAUACGCUCAUCAAUUGACGUUACUCGCAGAAGAAGCACCGGCUAACUCCGUGCCAGCAGCCGCGGUAAUACGGAGGGUGCAAGCGUUAAUCGGAAUUACUGGGCGUAAAGCGCACGCAGGCGGUUUGUUAAGUCAGAUGUGAAAUCCCCGGGCUCAACCUGGGAACUGCAUUUGAAACUGGCAAGCUAGAGUCUCGUAGAGGGGGGUAGAAUUCCAGGUGUAGCGGUGAAAUGCGUAGAGAUCUGGAGGAAUACCGGUGGCGAAGGCGGCCCCCUGGACGAAGACUGACGCUCAGGUGCGAAAGCGUGGGGCAGCAAACAGGAUUAGAUACCCUGGUAGUCCAGCGCUGUAAAACGAUGUCGAUUUUGGAGGUUGUGCCCUUGAGGCGUGGCUUCCGGAGCUAACGCGUUAAAUCGACCGCCUGGGGAGUACGGCCGCAAGGUUAAAACUCAAAUGAAUUGC
rnacentral:rRNA from 1 species